rnacentral:rRNA from 1 species
CCCUUAGAUGUUCUGGGCCGCACGCGCGCUACACUGUUCGACGCAGCGAGUCUUAACCUUGACCGAAAGGUUUGGGUAAUCUUCAGCAAAGUCGAACGUGAUGGGGAUCGAUCAUUGCAAUUAUUGAUCGUGAACGAGGAAUUCCCAGUAAGUGCAAGUCAUCAGCUUGCGCUGAUUACGUCCCUGCCCUUUGUACACACCGCCCGUCGCUACUACCGAUUGAAUGGUUUAGUGAGAUCUCUGGAUUGACGCUGGCUAGGGGGCGACCCUUGGCCAGACUGUUGAGAAACUGCUCAAACUUGAUCAUUUAGAGGAAGUAAAAGUCGUAACA